GUCUACUACCUCAUCCUAAAUAUUAGGGGCUUGAAGCAGUUCCUUAGUUGAUUAGAAGGCUUCCCUCUAGGAGAAUCAACAGUUGUUUGUGUUACGACACAUUGGGCUAUUCCACUAGCCUCUUGCUCUGUCAUCGGAGGUUAAAAAUCCUAAGGGAUAUGGAAAGUGCCACGGACGGAAAAAUUCUGACAACUAACUUGAAUUUUAACGACUCCCUGAUGUUUUAAGGA
rnacentral:sRNA from 1 species